GAGCUAGCAGCAGCAACCCGGUCAGGUCCCCUUUUGUGCUGUGGAAGCUUUGUUCUUUCUCUGUUUGCAAUAAAUCUUACUGCUGCUCACUCUUUGGGUCUACGCCGCCUUUAUGAGCUAUAACACUCACCGUGAAGGUCUGCAUCUUCACUCCUGAAGCCAGUGAGACUACGAACAAACGCAUUGGGAGGGACGAACAAACGCAUUGGGAGGGACCAACAACUCCGGACAUGAGGAACAAACAACUCCAGAUGCGCUGUCUUUAAGAGCUGUAACACUCACAGCAAAGGUCUGCGCCUCACUUCUUAAGUCAGUGAGACCACAAACCCACCAGAAGGAAGAAACUCCGGACGCAUCUGAACAUCUGAAAGCACAAACUCUGGACACACCAUCUUUAAGAACUGUAACACUCACCGCGAGGGUCCGCAGCUUCAUUCUGGAAGUCAGCAAGACCAAGAACCCAUUAUUCCGGACACAAAGGGGCAGCUGCUGUAGCUGUGUCACCUGACAAGCAACCAGCGCCCCCGCUGCACAAAGCAGCAGCAGCAGCAGUUUCAGCACAGCCCAGAAACGAGUGUGCUUCCGGGGGAGUGGCUUGCAGGGGCAGGAUUCGGACUUAGAUUUGGGGGCCUAAUUUGUUUCCUUGUUCCAGGGAGAAGAUGUCCAUCUAUAAGAAAGUGGUCCCUCAGCAGACACUGAAUCUGCUGGUGUCCUGAUCUUGAAUAUACCAGCCUCCAGAACUCCCCUAUUCAAGAUGGAGUCACUCUGGUUCAAAGGCCUCUAACACCAGCGUUCAGAUGAGCUGCUACUCCUCCGGAGGCAAUUUGAAGUUGAGGGUCUGUGGCGCAUGGGCACCCACCUGUUCCUGGCUGCUGGGUAGAAGACUUAUACUGGAGAGGAGACCAAGUUGCUCUGUGCGUCAACCCAUGCUCAUUGUCCUUCCAUGUCCAAAGACCUCUUCUAUGAAAGACAGCUGAGUGUUUCUCUGCUCCUAG
rnacentral:lncRNA from 1 species